AUUGAACGCUGGCGGCAGGCCUAACACAUGCAAGUCGAGCGGUAGAGAGAAGCUUGCUUCUCUUGAGAGCGGCGGACGGGUGAGUAAUGCCUAGGAAUCUGCCUGGUAGUGGGGGAUAACGUUCGGAAACGGACGCUAAUACCGCAUACGUCCUACGGGAGAAAGCAGGGGACCUUCGGGCCUUGCGCUAUCAGAUGAGCCUAGGUCGGAUUAGCUAGUUGGUGGGGUAAUGGCUCACCAGGGCGACGAUCCGUAACUGGUCUGAGAGGAUGAUCAGGCACACUGGAACUGUGACACGGUCCAGACUCCUACGGGAGGCAGCAGUGGGGAAUAUUGGACAAUGGGCGAAAGCCUGAUCCAUCCAUGCCGCGUGUGUGAAGAAGGUCUUCGGAUUGUAAAGCACUUUAAGUUGGGAGGAAGGGCAGUAAAUUAAUACUUUGCUGUUUUGACGUUACCGACAGAAUAAGCACCGGCUAACUCUGUGCCAGCCGCCGCCGUAA
rnacentral:rRNA from 1 species